rnacentral:misc_RNA from 1 species
CAGCUGCGAGAUUUGGUGUGAAUUGCAGGACACAUUGAGCACUGAUUUUUCGAACGCACAUUGCGGCCUCGGGUCCUGCCCGGGGCCUCGCCUGUCUGAGGGUCGGAUAAGACUUGCAAAGGAAAAAUUAUUCUUUUUCCAAUUGGCCGCGUCGGAGUCCUUGAUUGGAUUUCGUCGGCUUAAGUAUUUAUAGGAUCCUCCCCGGUCGAGAGAGCUCAAGCCCUAGUGCAUGCUCGUCGCUCGGAGAAGACGGACAACGUUUCUCCACGAAGACGAGACGGUUUGAUGCUAAGAAGACUAUUCAGUGGGAAGAGAGCCUACAUAGACUAUUAUAGUCUAUUUGAAGCAUUAUUAUUGACGACCUCAGAUCAGACGAGAUGACCCGCUGAAUUUAA